GUGCAACAUUUCCAGAAAUGUACCAGAGUUGUUCGUGAUCAUAACCCCAAAUCAUUGGUACCUCGAUGUUUAGAGGGGAAACAGCAUUGGCUGGGCAAGCUGGGGCAGGGAACGUGAUGAACAGUGGGCUGGAAUAAGUUAACUGGAGGAGGGGAGGCGUCUCAGGAAGGGAGAAUAGCAUGAACAGCAGCAUAGACGUGAGAAUAACCAUCUGGAGUGAUGAACCUAUGCUGAGUAGAAAGUUCCAGAAGGCUGCAUAAGGGAGGUGUGUGAACAGCAGAAGCAGGACAAACCUGAGAUGGGAGAAGAUGGCUAAACUGAAGCAACUUGGAGCUAGAAGAUAGGCUGCAUCUGCUCAGUUCACCUGCGCAGACCAAAAACAGUGCACGCUGUAGGCGGCCCAGUCCAGCUGAAUUUCAUCAGAUGGGCAUGUGUUUCCUUCCCCAACUGCUGGCCUCAGCUUCUCAGAAGGUAAUGUAUUGAGCCAAGGUGAGCCCUGCAGGUGAUCACCUGGACACCUCUGCCCAUCUGUGAGAGUGAACAGCAUGCUUACUACUGUGGUAGGCUGCAGUGCCACAGCAAGCUGAUUCACACGUAAAGGACAUGGGCAGGCCAUGAGUUCUCUCUAUCCAGGGACAUCUUGCCAACUAAACCUCCCACCUGCCACCUCCACCUUAGUCCUGCCUGAGUGUGCUCUCACCCACUACCUUCACGGAUGUCUCUGCGUCUCUGUUCACUGGCUGUUUCCACUCUCAAACCUACUUCCUUUUCCUCUCUGCAGAGGGGUGCAUCUCGGGUUAUCUCCAAACGAUGUUCGAUUCCACUCUCUCCUUUUAUUCAAACAAUUCUCCUCACAUGAGUGGCUACCCAGCAAGUCUGGCUCUCCCUCCAGCAACCCAAUCUAGAAAGCUAUAGCAUCUGUCUCAUAAGGGCUGGGUUGGCUGUGGUUCAUUAAGAAGGUAUUAAGCACUUUAUUGUACCAGCUUGCCAGAAACCGAAGACUCCUUCUAAAUCUGUUGCUUCACCUGAUGCCGAUUUUACUAGCAGUCUGUCCUAAAAAUGGUAUAUCUGGUAAUAAAAACAGAUAUUUUGAGCACCUAUUAGAUUUCAGAUGCCAUGAACUAUUCACUAGUUGAUUUAUCUUUUGCAUCUAUUCAUCAAUUCCUUUAUUUUUUGCACUAGCACUGCAAGC
rnacentral:lncRNA from 1 species